AAAAAAGGUAAGCUACUAAGAGCGAAUGGUGGAUGCCUUGACUGGUAAAGGCGAUGAAGGACGUACUAGACUGCGAUAAGCUACGGGGAGCUGUCAAGAAGCUUUGAUCCGUAGAUUUCCGAAUGGGGCAACCCAAUGUAUAGAGAUAUACAUUACCUAUAUAGGAGCGAACGAGGGGAAUUGAAACAUCUUAGUACCCUCAGGAAAAGAAAUCAAUAGAGAUUGCGUCAGUAGCGGCGAGCGAAAGCG
rnacentral:rRNA from 1 species